rnacentral:tRNA from 1 species
AGAAAUUUAGGUUAAUGACUUAGACCGAGGGCCUUCAAAGCCCUAAGUAGAGGUGAAAGUCCUCUAAAUUCUG